GACGAACGCUGGCGGCGUGCUUAACACAUGCAAGUCGAACGGUGAAGCGCCUUCCUUUUUGGUGGGUGUGGAUGAGUGGCGAACGGGUGAGUAACACGUGAGUAACCUGCCCCCUUCUUCUGGAUAACCGCAUGAAAGUGUGGCUAAUACGGGAUAUUCUGGGUCUGUCGCAUGAUGGGUCUGGGAAAGAUAUUGUUUCGGUGGGGGAUGGGCUCGCGGCCUAUCAGCUUGUUGGUGGGGUGAUGGCCUACCAAGGCGGUGACGGGUAGCCGGCCUGAGAGGGUGGACGGUCACAAGGGGACUGAGACACGGCCAAGACUCCUACGGGAGGCAGCAGUGGGGAAUAUUGCACAAUGGGCGCAAGCCUGAUGCAGCGACGCCGCGUGAGGGAUGGAGGCCUUCGGGUUGUGAACCUCUUUCGCCAGUGAAGCAGGCCUGCCUCGUUUGUGGGUGGGUUGACGGUAGCUGGAGAAGAAGCGCCGGCUAACUACGUG
rnacentral:rRNA from 1 species